UUGGAUGCAAAGGCGGUUUCUUCGGGGAACAAUGUCAAACAAAAUGCCCUAAAGCUUGUAGGACAAGUGGUACAGAAACGAGAUGUAAUGGCGAUGGACACUGUCAAUUUGGCUGCGUCGAUGGCUACGAAGGAGAGGAGUGCACAAAUGAAACAGCCGGAUCAUUAGUAGGAGCUAUUGCGGGCGGUGUGAGUGGUGGCGUUGUAGUCAUUGUUGCCGUCGCUGUUGCAUUUUUCUUCUUUCGACGAAGAACAACUCGUCUACCUGCGUCGAGCCAAAUCAAGGAAAAUG